GAAAUGCGAUAAGUAAUGUGAAUUGCAGAAUUCAGUGAAUCAUCGAAUCUUUGAACGCAUCUUGCGCUCCUUGGUAUUCCUUGGAGCAUGCCUGUUUGAGUAUCAUGAAAUCUUCAAAGUAAAUCUUUUGUUAACUCAAUUGGUUUCUACUUUGGUAUUGGAGGUCUUUGCAGCUUCACACCUGCUCCUCUUUGUUCAUUAGCUGGAUCUCAGUGUUAUGCUUGGUUCCACUCGGCGUGAUAAGUUAUCUAUCGCUGAGGACACUGUAAAAGGUGGCCAAGGUAAAUGCAGAUGAACCGCUUCUAAUAGUCCAUUGACUUGGACAAUACUUUUAUGAUCUGAUCUCAAAUCAGGUAGGACUACCCGCUGACCUUAAGC
rnacentral:misc_RNA from 1 species